UGGGGAAUUUUGGACAAUGGGCGCAAGCCUGAUCCAGCAAUGCCGCGUGCAGGAUGAAGGCCUUCGGGUUGUAAACUGCUUUUGUACGGAACGAAAAGGCUCUUUCUAAUACAGAGAGCCGAUGACGGUACCGUAAGAAUAAGCACCGGCUAACUACGUGCCAGCAGCCGCGGUAAUACGCAGGGUGCAAGCGUUAAUCGGAAUUACUGGGCGUAAAGCGUGCGCAGGCGGUCUUGUAAGACAGAGGUGAGAUCCCCGGGCUCAACCUGGGAACGGCCUUUGUGACUGCAAGGCUGGAGUGCGGCAGAGGGGGAUAGAAUACCGCGUGUAGCACUGAAAUGCGUAGAUAUGCGGAGGAACACCGAUGGCGAAGGCAAUCCCCUGGGCCUGCACUGACGCUCAUGCACGAAAGCGUGGGGA
rnacentral:rRNA from 1 species